GGGGAGGUGUGGGCCGGAGGGGGCCCCCGAACGGUUUACAUGGGUGAGCAGGAGGAGGACGGCCGGCCGGUCGGGCUGGGAAGGAGCCGACCGCUCGAGGCGGCCAAGAAGUCUCUAUCUGGGAGAGGAGGAAACUGAGGCCCAGAGUAUUGAAAUGGUUUGAUCAAGGUCAUGCAGCCGUACAGUUCUGAGCUGAAGUUCAAACACAGAAUCCUGACUCCAUCUCGACCCAGUUUUCUUUCCAGGUUCAUCUGAGGACAUCUGAGAAGCCUCCUCCCAUCCUCCGGGGAACAUACAGCCUCCCAAGAGAGGGUCAAUGCCCUAAGGUGUGCUGUGUGUGUUAGUCCCUCAGCCGUG